rnacentral:rRNA from 1 species
ACUAUGUGUUGUUGGGUAGGGGAGCGUUCUGUAAGCCUGUGAAGGUGUGUCGUGAGGCAUGCUGGAGGUAUCAGAAGUGCGAAUGCUGACAUAAGUAACGAUAAAGCGGGUGAAAAGCCCGCUCGCCGGAAGACCAAGGGUUCCUGUCCAACGUUAAUCGGGGCAGGGUGAGUCGACCCCUAAGGCGAGGCCGAAAGGCGUAGUCGAUGGGAAACGGGUUAAUAUUCCCGUACUUGGUGUUACUGCGAAGGGGGGACGGAGAAGGCUAUGUUGGCCGGGCGACGGUUGUCCCGGUUUAAGCGUGUAGGUGUGUGUUCCAGGUAAAUCCGGUUCACUUUAACACUGAGGCGUGAUGACGAGGCACUACGGUGCUGAAGCAACAAAUGCCCUGCUUCCAGGAAAAGCCUCUAAGCAUCAGGUAACAUCAAAUCGUACCCCAA